GACGAACGCUGGCGGCGUGCCUAAUACAUGCAAGUUGAGCGCUGAAGGUUGGUACUUGUACCAACUGGAUGAGCAGCGAACGGGUGAGUAACGCGUGGGGAAUCUGCCUUUGAGCGGGGGACAACAUUUGGAAACGAAUGCUAAUACCGCAUAAAAACUUUAAACACAAGUUUUAAGUUUGAAAGAUGCAAUUGCAUCACUCAAAGAUGAUCCCGCGUUGUAUUAGCUAGUUGGUGAGGUAAAGGCUCACCAAGGCGAUGACACAUAGCCGACCUGAGAGGGUGAUCGGCCACAUUGGGACUGAGACACGGCCCAAACUCCUACGGGAGGCAGCAGUAGGGAAUCUUCGGCAAUGGACGAAAGUCUGACCGAGCAACGCCGCGUGAGUGAAGAAGGUUGUCGGAUCGUAAAACUCUGUUGGUAGAGAAGAACGUUGGUGAGAGUGGAAAGCUCAUCAAGUGACGGUAACUACCCAGAAAGGGACGGCUAACUACGUG
rnacentral:rRNA from 1 species